ACUCUGCCUUAUGAAACAUCAAAAAUUCAUUCCAUUUCUGUUUCAUAAGACCCUUAUUAAAAACAUAACAAACUUCACAAAAUUCAUAACUUUACCUUAUGAAAUUUAUAACCCAUACUUGUGUAAUAUUUUCAUACGGUGUACUUAUGAAAGAACAUGCGUUCAUUUCUGAGUUUAUUUUUGAGUGACAUUUCAGGAGUAAAAAGUGCACGUAACGUGGAAGCAGCCUCAACGGAAGGGAAUCAACCUCGGCAGCGGAAUGACCGAAAAACUCGUUUUCCGGCUUUAUUAUCAGCGUCGAAGAUGACCAAUGGCAAUGCUCUGGGGACCGGCACCGCUGCUAUGGAGCGAUCAAAACUAUACGUAUACGAGCACGAAGUUGGCGAACGGAAGAACGUCAGGAGUGGAAUUGUUGCAAACUAUCCUCAAUCAACGAUGUUUCGGAAUCCUUGCUUUGUCGAUCGGCUCGAUCUUGGAUGAUAGAAACUCGGAGGGAAAUAUUCAACAACUGCCACAAGAACCGAAAACUGCUAAGAUCCCAACAUCAAUCGACAAUCCGGCACACGGGCAAUCAUUGAAAAAUUGAUUAAAUAGUUAAUGCAAUCUAUUGGAAGAACGAUCAACCACACUCUGGAAUACAUCCAUGAACAAGAAGGUAGAAGGGAACAUCUAAAAAAGAUAAGUAUAAUUUCAAUUGUUUUAAUUACUUUAAAUGUGAAACAUAUUUGUUUGUUAGACAUUUGGGUUAUAAGCUUAAAGGAUUAUUUGUGAUUGUUUACAUACUUUUUAUUCAGCAUUAUUAUAAUAGAUCUGACAAAUGGUCGCAGUGAUUGAAAUACCAACAAGGAAAAACAUCAGCAUUGUCCGCUUCUAUUGGAAUAUUAGACAAACUAAGGCUAAAAGGUGCUAAAAGAUUAAGCUGAAGCGGAAAUUUUACUAAGGCAUUCGAUUAUAAAUUGUGGGA